rnacentral:tRNA from 1 species
GCCUCUUUAGCUCAGUGGUUAGAGCACUGGUCUUGUAAACCAGGGGUCCAGAGUUUGAAUCUCUGACGAGGCU